rnacentral:rRNA from 1 species
AACGAACGCUGGCGGCAUGCCUAACACAUGCAAGUCGAACGAGAUCUUCGGGUCUAGUGGCGCACGGGUGCGUAACGCGUGGGAAUCUGCCCUUUGGUUCGGAAUAACAGUUGGAAACGACUGCUAAUACCGGAUGAUGACGAAAGUCCAAAGAUUUAUCGCCAUGGGAUGAGUCCGCGUAGGAUUCGCUAGUUGGUGUGGUAGAGGCGCACCAAGGCGACGAUCAUUAGCUGGUGUGAGAGGAUGAACAGCCAAACUGGGACUGAGACACGGCCCAGACUCCUACGGGAGGCAGCAGUGGGGAAUAUUGGACAAUGGGCGAAAGCCUGAUCCAGCAAUGCCGCGUGAGUGAUGAAGGCCUUAGGGUUGUAAAGCUCUUUUACCCGGGAUGAUAAUGACAGUACCGGGAGAAUAAGCUCCGGCUAACUCCGUGCCAGCCGCCGCCGUAA